rnacentral:lncRNA from 1 species
UUUUUUUUUUUUUUGAGAACGGGAAGUUGAACUGCCGAACUGUGGCUAACACAACUCGCUUCCUCGCUGCUGAGCUACGCACACGUUCUCUAAAAUUGUAUCUAUAGACAACAUAAUUAUAUGUACGUCAACCUGUUAAUUGAGUUGGAAUCCAAACUGUAACCCCACCAACCCAUUCUCACAAAUAUAUAAAUUUAACCCACUCCAAAUCAAACUUCCACCUUCACACACCAUACCACCCCAAACUUUUCAGUGCAUAAGUUAUACAAACUGCUUGCCAAAUAUGGUUACAACCCAAUAAGAACCCAUUAGAUAGCUACUAGUAGUCAAACAAGUUGCAAAGACCUAUGGUUGCGAUGAAGCCUUUCAGUGCAGCUCCAAGAUCCAUGUCAAAGGAUAUGCUGGGAUCUACAGGGCCAUAAUACAUAUCGCUAAACGGGGGAUGAUUGCUAUCCUCGUAAACCAAAGAGUUGGAGAACUUAUCCAGUGUUUGAGACUCUUGUGGCACUUCGUGGCCACCAACUGGGAGCACCCCUGACUGAAAUCGAUUUUCAUUGCCCACCUCAGUCUCCAGUACACAAGGGUCUAAGGAACUCGAUGGUUCCAUCGAGAAAAUAUCAGGUGAUGGUAGAGGCGAAUGGCUCAAACCGAAGUCAUCAGUAGAAACUUGCGUGGGAAACGGGUUAUAUUGAUUUUCAUGCAAAGACAGAGAUCUCAUAUUGAACAGCUGCGAAGGAUUUCCCACAAGCGUUCCGUUGUCACAUGUAAAGACAUUCUUCCAGUGUUCAUAUGCUUGCUUCACAGCCACACGUGCUUUAGCCUGAAAAUAGAAAACAUGUAAAAACAGAUGGUCAAGGUCAGAACGGGUGGGGGUGUAGGAAGCCAGGUGAACUUGUUCAAAAGAACUUAGAAAGUGAUGGAACAUUACCUUCUCCUUUUCAGUAAGAUCAUCAACAGAAACAAAUUUAUCAGAUAUUAACCCUCUUACUUCUCCAACUACAUUGAAUACAACACCAGCUUUGUUUAGACUGUCUGGAUAGUAGUAAUGCACUUUGUCAGUUAAAACACAGGUUUCUGCAUGCUCCACGGUGGCCUCCCACAUCUUUGUUGACAUGCCGCCACCUAAUAUCUGCAUGAUUUGAACAUAGAGCGGGGUUAAUAGUACACAUCUUUGAUGAACUGCAACUACCCAUAGGCAACAAACAUGCAGAGCAGCAGAACAAAUGAAGACCAGAACAAUACCUUCCGAAGCCUAGGACCAUCAAGAUGUAGUAAAGUGAGAAAAUCCUUAACAGUACAUAUGCUCUCCCUAUUCAAACGCUUGUGAAAAGCACCAUCCUUGCCAAUUUUCUCCAGGCGCCAUACUUCAUCAUCAAGAAAUGGUGGGUGGUGCUUCUUGUACACUGGUCAAGAGGAGACAUUGAAUUAAAUUAUAUAGUGAGCUGUUACAACCAUGUAGCCUAAGUUUUGAAUUGAUGUCCACAAAUCCGAUGUCAAGCACACAUGGGAGUCUAGGCUUUCAAGUUCAUUCUGAAUAUCUUGCUUCAUUCUCUGGUACUUCUUUAGACAAUCAUUGCGAACAGUUUGUCGUCCCACAACACUUAGAGUUGGCUGCAUGGACUGAACCCAUGGUUCGAAGUAUGGAUCCUCAAACUUGUUAAAUGGGAUUUCAGCAUGUAUGACAAACUCUAUCAUACGCUCACGACUAAACUGAGGGUCAAACACAAAGUUCUCUAUAGGCUUCUUUAAGGUUGCUAUGAAUCUGUUCCUCUCGGCUUCCCCAAUUGCAUGACAAUAUUGAGAAAUGUGGGUUCUAAGGCUACUAGUUCCAGAUUUGGUGCUUAACUGCAUUCGACAAUACUUGCAAACAGCUCUAAAACAAUUAUCCACUUCCACAAGAUUCUGCUCAAAAUGUUCCCACACCUUGGACCUUUUUGCACGUGUUUGAGUUGAAUUAGAGUCAUCAGAGCUUUCCGAUGUGUUAAGAGACAUGUUGAAGAAUCCCUAACAAAAGAUGAGAUCUAGCAGCCGUUAGAACUGAAAUUAAGCAUAUAAGAGUAAGGUCCAUCAAAUGUUAUUCCAUUCUAAAACAAUCUCCUAUAAAGCAGAUCACCAGCAAAGGCUCCAGCAAAUGACACCAGCAGAUCACUACAGAAUAAACUUCUAAAACAAUCUCCUAUAAAGCAGGCAAAGAUCAUCACACACAUUAGGAUUUUCGGUAUUUAGCUAUGGUCCUGGAAUAACACGUAGAACUAACAGUCUGAACUAUUUUGAUACACAAGUGUCAGGUAUGCCACUGAGCACGGUGACAACAAUAACUGGAUUUAGACUGGAAUUCUCUUGUGACUGCUGAAAGCAACAAAAAAGAAAUCAUACUACUUGGUAAAUUCCAUUGAUUAGUUUAAAUGUUGGCAAUAUGGAUCGCCUAAGCUCAGUGAAAACUACACAGAAGUUGCAAAACAACACCAUCCAGCAUUGGCCAUUCCAAACAUUUAUUCAUUCAAACACUUUGACCAUAAUUUAUUAUUCAUAUUACAUGAUACAGUUAAAAGUACAAGGAAUAGCUCUAUCCACUUCGACCUAUAAUUAGAAGAGCCUCCAGACCUAGUACUACAAGAUAUGGAUCUUUCCACCAUAUCAUGUUCACCAACCAUAGUUCAAAAGGAUGCAGGAAUAGAAUCCUGGCGAUGAUAAACAAAAAAAAAACGCCUGUUUGAUUUCGCGCAGCAGGAUGGGAAGGGAGGGGAAUAGGC